CACCUCUGGUUUAGGCCCUGAGGUGCCUACGUGCUGAGCUGCACAGGGUCCAGGUUGUUAAACAACUAAGUGGUCAGGGGGGGAUUUCGACACAUAUCUAAUGGGCAGUUCCGGGAAUUGUCUUAACUGCCACAGGAAUUUCAGGCCUUGAGUGUAGCUUAGAAACUUUACAAUACCUGGUCCUUUACAUUUUAACUUCAGUUUCUUUUAUCCUUUCAAUACCACCGUCUGGCACAUUCAGAGGAGAAAUGAGUGAGUGGUCAUAAUUAUUUUCUCAAUUGACAUAAUUCUUUUCUCAAUUGACAAAUAAAAAUUGUGUAUACUUAUAAUGUACAGUGUGUUGUUUUAAAAUAUAUAUUAUUGUGGAAUUGCCAAAUUGAAUGCCUUCUUUCCUACUUAUUGGAUAAUCAUAACUCUUAAUCUAUGCCCAGAUAUAAACCCUGAGGGUAACCAGCCUCCUCUCCUCCGGGACCCCACAUCGAUCCAGGUUCCAUCUCCCCUCUCCUGAGCACCUCAGCUGCCUUCCCUCCCAAACAAUUCUGCCUCACCCUCUGGAAUCCUUGACACAGGAAAAACAGAUUUUCCUCAUCACCACUGAGUAUUCCUCCACCUCCUCGCCUGAACUGAACUCUGGCUGUCACCCAAGGACACAGCUUCCCUGAAGCCACUACAGGGAAGGCAACUCCUUCUCCCAUAUCCUCUGCAGCUUGGGGGUCAGGAAGAGGGGUCAGCUUUCCUCGUGCUUUUGUUUCACUCUUUAUAAAAUACUAAAACAAAACAAAAACCUGCUUUCUACUGUGCAUAGCAUCUGAUUAUGAAGCAACCUUCUCCCCUUGGUUGCCAUCCUGAAUCUGCGUCCUCAUUACCUACUUCAUGUUCAAAGAUCUGGGCACCCAGCUCUAGGAAGCUCACAGGGUGACGUCUUCAACAACCUCAGGUCUCAGUGGUCUGCCUGACUCCUCUCCCAUCUGUGUGAGCUCCAUACUUUCUGUUGACUACACCUGGAGCCUUCUGUGCCUAAGAACUGCUAUGCCCCAAAGUUAUCCCCUCAGUGACCCUACUCUGAUCAUGACCUCAGGCCCUUCCAGCAUGUUCUCUGGUUAAUGUCCACUGUACCUAUUGCUCAGCCUCUUCAGGCUGUUCUACUUCCAGAUGCUUUCCUAAAAUUAGCUCUCCCAUCAUAGAUAAUUGAAAGAGUUGCAAAGCUCACAGAGCCUCAGCAUAAUAAUAUACAACAAAAAACUAUUGGAAAUGGCUAGAGUCUUGUGGUUCUAUCAAGCCCAUACCUUAUGAUUUAGUGACUGAAUUACAUUCAAAUUGAUGACAAUUAAAGGGAAAAAAUAGUAACCUCACAGUGGAGAAACCCAGCUGCAAUAAAUUGAAUGUUUACAUCUCCCCCAAAUUCACAAGUUGAAAUCCUGACCACAAAAGUGAG
rnacentral:lncRNA from 1 species